rnacentral:rRNA from 1 species
CCUACGGGGCGCAGCAGUGAGGAAUAUUGGUCAAUGGGCGCGAGCCUGAACCAGCCAAGUAGCGUGAAGGAUGACUGCCCUACGGGUUGUAAACUUCUUUUAUAAAGGAAUAAAGUGAGUCACGUGUGCCUUUUUGUAUGUACUUUAUGAAUAAGGAUCGGCUAACUCCGUGCCAGCAGCCGCGGUAAUACGGAGGAUCCGAGCGUUAUCCGGAUUUAUUGGGUUUAAAGGGAGCGUAGAUGGGUUGUUAAGUCAGUUGUGAAAGUUUGCGGCUCAACCGUUAAAUUGCAAUUGAUACUGGCUGUCUUGAGUACAGGUGAGGUAGGCGGAAUUCGUGGUGUAGCGGUGAAAUGCUUAGAUAUCACGAAGAACUCCGAUUGCGAAGGCAGCUUACUAAACUGCCACUGACAUUGAUGCUCGAAAGUGUGGGUAUCAAACAGGAUUAGAUACCCCAGUAGUC